CCGCCCUGACUGUAUUGAAAUUCUAACCUACGGGUCUUAUCGACCCGGGAGACAGUGUCAGGUGGGCAGUUUGACUGGGGCGGUCGCCUCCUAAAGUGUAACGGAGGCGCCCAAAGGUUCCCUCAGAAUGGUUGGAAAUCAUUCGUAGAGUGCAAAGGCAUAAGGGAGCUUGACUGCGAGACCUACAAGUCGAGCAGGGACGAAAGUCGGGCUUAGUGAUCCGGUGGUUCCGCAUGGAAGGGCCAUCGCUCAACGGAUAAAAGCU
rnacentral:rRNA from 1 species